CCGGCGACCGGCGCACGGGUGAGUAACACGUAUGCAACCUGCCCUCUUCAGGGGGCAACCUUCCGAAAGGGAGGCUAAUCCCGCGUAUAUCGGUUUCGGGCAUCCGAGAUCGAGGAAAGAUUCAUCGGAAGAGGAUGGGCAUGCGGCGCAUUAGCUAGACGGCGGGGUAACGGCCCACCGUGGCGACGAUGCGUAGGGGUUCUGAGAGGAAGGUCCCCCACACUGGUACUGAGACACGGACCAGACUCCUACGGGAGGCAGCAG
rnacentral:rRNA from 1 species